CAGCUUUAUUCUGAGUGUUGCUGCUUAGUUUAACUCAAAAUCCUUAUCGCAGAGGGAUCAUAAGGGUGGCAGAUCAAUCCAUACCAACGGAACAUACCCACUGCAAAUUAACACGCAGUGUACGUGUGUAUAGAUAGGGACACGGCACACGAGCUGCCAAUUAUGUCGUGCUUUAGAGGAAACUGCAGAGAAAAAGUCACGAAGAGAAGGCUGCCUGGUGAGGUGUCUCGAGAUGUAAAUGGCUCCUGCUGAAAAGGUGCUUGAAACAAGACUUCAUUGCUGAGCUACAGGGAUUAAGGGAAGGGAUUUUAUUUGCCUGCUGCAGUUAGAUGCAGCGUCCUCAAGGACCCCAGAAUUUGCAUGGAAACAUGGAGGAGAGGAGAGAGGAAAUAACCUUUACAGAAAGAAAAUCAGUCAAAUCAUCUUUAUCAUUCAAACAAAAGAUGACAGGAAAUGAACAGGUGACUUCAAGGAUGAAAAAAAUACUCUUCUGCCAAUUCAAGAAAAGAUAAUGGAUGAGGUGUUACAGAACCUCGAUGUCUUGAUUUUAAAGUUCUAAAAAACUACCUGUAUACCACAACAAUUAAGAAAAUUAAGUAGGGGUAGCACUAAAGUGAAGCAAGGCAGGAUUAACCCUGAUGUAAAGGAUGAGUUAAGCACAAUGAC
rnacentral:lncRNA from 1 species